rnacentral:rRNA from 1 species
UACGAAGGGGGCUAGCGUUGCUCGGAAUCACUGGGCGUAAAGGGCGCGUAGGCGGCCUGAUAAGUCGGGGGUGAAAGCCUGUGGCUCAACCUCAGAAUUGCCUUCGAUACUGUUGGGCUUGAGACCGGAAGAGGUAAGUGGAACUGCGAGUGUAGAGGUGAAAUUCGUAGAUAUUCGCAAGAACACCAGUGGCGAAGGCGGCUUACUGGUCCGGAUCUGACGCUGAGGCGCGAAAGCGUGGGGAGCAAACAGG